UCGGCGAUGGCACGCGAAGCACGCCCCAUUCCCCCUGAACUUCUUCCUGCCCGGCAGCAUUCAGCGCCAGCAGCUGGAGAGGCUGAGGCUGGUCAGGGGAGAUGAAGAGUUGACAGCAUUGGAGGAAUUGGAGAAGGAGCUGUACCGCAAUGCUAUGGAGUAUAUGAACCUUAUCUCGCAGAGGCUGGGCUCAAACAAGUUCUUCUUCGGAGACUCACCUUCAUCUCUGGACGCUUUUGUAUUUCGCUACUUGGUGCCCAUCCUGAAGAUGAAACUGCCCAAUGGAAGACUCCAGCAGCACCUCAAGUCACUGGACAACUGAGCCACUUCUGCUCCAACAUCCUGGCGCUCUACUUCCCCAGUGAGGGAUGAGAAGGUUUUAGUUGCAAGAUGUCCUCCCAGCCUGAAGGGGGUGACGCUGAUAACGAGCCUGGUAAGAGGCGCAAGCAGCUGCUGCUGUCAGUCCUGGUGGCCCUGGGCGCCAUGUUGAACUACACCCUCCUCACCUGCAUUGUGGCUAUUCAACACGUCCAGCAGGAGGCACUAGACCACCGUUCCCCAGGUCUCAGGUCACUCUCCUCCAACGAGGAGGAGGAUGAGGAGGGCUGAGGAUGGUGAGGAGGAGACGGCUGCAAUUCAAAACUGAUCUCCUGUGUCUAUUCCUAAUUCUUCGUUGACGCUCCCUCAGCAGUCUGGAAUGACUGGAAAGGUGUUAACCAAUAUGGCAGAAACUCCAGUUCGCCUUCUAGACUAGGUGGAAGGUUUACUCAACUGCUGAUGCCUCACCAUCCUUCAGAUCCUGGAGUCAAUACGAAGAAGGGGCAAGGGGGUGGUGUUUGAUUGGGCCAAAGCAGUAGAGUAUGAUGAAGAGGAGGAACACUGUGGAAAUAUGCAUUAAGAUGCUUCAAAACUCACCAAGAGUGCUUCGAUGUUUUACUUGGAAAAUGUUUGGAUGUUUUCUCUGCUUUAUUUUGACUCUGUCAUUGCACGAUAAUCAUAGAUCCAAAUCAUGACAUUGCUUUGCUUUUCUCAAUUUCCUUUUGCUUUAUCUUAUCCAAAUGAUAAUACUUUUAUGUGUUAAGUUGUAUUAUUGGGGGAACAAAUCCCAGGCAGCAUUCAUGAAAAUGUAAUUGUUACUGGAUUCUUAGUAGCAUUAGCACAUUCUUUCUGAACACUUGCCAAAAUAACCACCAUCUAAGUCUCUAGAUGUUUCAAAUAAUAAUAAUUUCAACAGAGGAAA